UGAUUACGUCCCUGCCCUUUGUACACACCGCCCGUCGCUGCCCGGGACUGAGCCAUUUCGAGAAAUUUGGGGAUUGCUGAUUAGCGGUCUUUCGGGAUUGCUUUUUGGUGAGAACCAAUUUAAUCGCAGUGGCUUGAACCGGGCAAAAGUCGUAACAAGGUGGCUGUAGGUGAACCUGCUGCCGGAUCAUUAUCGAUCAACCAAAACACUAGGAGAAGGAUCUGACUGGACCUUUUCCGUGGAAUGUUGAAUUCAUUCCUUACAGUCAAUAGUCCAAGAGAAUGCCGUGAUAUUGGCAUGAUACUUACUGGAGUUGUUCCCACCGGUUUGUAUGCCUAUUCUUGGGCGAAAAACGGCUCUGUUGGCUUCUAAGAUUCUCUGAGCAGUUGUAUGCCUACGUCCGUGGCUGCGUUGAAGAGAGUCGGCACGUGGUCUUUGUGAUCGCGAGAAUUAAUGAGUACUAGUUAGGUGCCGCCAACAAAAAACCCUAUUUUUAAACUUUUUACAAAGAAACAUUUCUAGUCUUAUCGGUGGAUCACUCGGUUCAUAGAUCGAUGAAGAACGCAGCCAACUGCGAUAUAUGGUGUGAACUGCAGAUAUUUUG
rnacentral:misc_RNA from 1 species